rnacentral:lncRNA from 1 species
AUGGCCUCGUGUCCUCAUGACCUGCGUCUUCUGUCACUGGGAAGGGAACUCCUGAUAUUUUGGAAAUCUGGCCUGCAAAAGAUGCACUACCUGAUAAAGGAUCUGGUUUGUGUUUAUGAAAAUACAGGGGAAAAAAAAGAUGCUGUGAAAGUGAAGAACAUAUUGUUAAGAAUGAGAAUUUCCUGGCAGGCAGUCCUUCGAGGUCAUUUUAAUUUUCCAGACAUCUUCAUCAGCUGUUAUAAACCGAUAGCAGUUAUUACUUGGAAAUGGAAAUUAUUGAAAACGUAUAGAGAAAUUCCAAGUUUGUACAGUGAGUCUAUGCAGAAUCCUACAAAUCCUGUGAAACUAAGGUUGGAGACUGCGUUGAUAAGAAGUAGAUGGUGUUCAGUUCUGCUUCUUAAACAGCAAUCUACUUUGAAACUAAAUCGCUGGCCUGUUCACAGAAGAAAAUUCUUUGGUCUCAAGGCUUUUGUAUUCAAUUGGGAGGUUGGACUGUGCUCCAACAAACAGAAUUAUUCAGCAAGUCAUUGCCUUCAAGAAGUAAUGUGUAACACCUUGUUUUGUUCCUUGGUUCAAAAGGCACUGUCACUGUUGUACACCAGUGUUUAA